rnacentral:rRNA from 1 species
GAUGAACGCUGGCGGCGUGCCUAAUACAUGCAAGUCGAACGCGCAGCGAAAGGUGCUUGCACCUUUCAAGCGAGUGGCGAACGGGUGAGUAACACGUGGAUAACCUGCCUCAAGGCUGGGGAUAACAUUUGGAAACAGAUGCUAAUACCGAAUAAAACUUAGUAUCGCAUGAUACAAAGUUAAAAGGCGCUACGGCGUCACCUAGAGAUGGAUCCGCGGUGCAUUAGUUAGUUGGUGGGGUAAAGGCUUACCAAGACGAUGAUGCAUAGCCGAGUUGAGAGACUGAUCGGCCACAGUGGGACUGAGACACGGCCCAAACUCCUACGGGAGGCUGCAGUAGGGAAUCUUCCACAAUGGGCGCAAGCCUGAUGGAGCAACGCCGCGUGUGUGAUGAAGGCUUCGGGUCGUAAAGCACUGUUGUAUGGGAAGAAAUGCUAAAAUAGGGAAUGAUUUUAGUUUGACGGUACCAUACCAGAAAGGGACGGCUAAAUACGUGCCAGCCGCCGCAGUAAAAC